GAUGAACGCUGGCGGCGUGCCUAAUACAUGCAAGUCGAGCGAACGGACGAGAAGCUUGCUUCUCUGAUGUUAGCGGCGGACGGGUGAGUAACACGUGGAUAACCUACCUAUAAGACUGGGAUAACUUCGGGAAACCGGAGCUAAUGCCGGAUAAUAUUUUGAACCGCAUGGUUCAAAAGUGAAAGACGGUCUUGCUGUCACUUAUAGAUGGAUCCGCGCUGCAUUAGCUAGUUGGUAAGGUAACGGCUUACCAAGGCAACGAUGCAUAGCCGACCUGAGAGGGUGAUCGGCCACACUGGAACUGAGACACGGUCCAGACUCCUACGGGAGGCAGCAGUAGGGAAUCUUCCGCAAUGGGCGAAAGCCUGACGGAGCAACGCCGCGUGAGUGAUGAAGGUCUUCGGAUCGUAAAACUCUGUUAUUAGGGAAGAACAUAUGUGUAAGUAACUGUGCACAUCUUGACGGUACCUAAUCAGAAAGCCACGGCUAACUACGU
rnacentral:rRNA from 1 species